CGCGUAGGCGGUUUGUUAAGUCAGAUGUGAAAGCCCAAGGCUCAACCUUGGACGUGCAUUUGAAACUGGCAGACUUGAGUACUGGAGGGGAUGGUGGAAUUCCCGGUGUAGAGGUGAAAUUCGUAGAUAUCGGGAGGAAUACCGGUGGCGAAGGCGACCAUCUGGCCAGGUACUGACGCUGAGGUGCGAAAGCAUGGGGAGCAAACA
rnacentral:rRNA from 1 species